rnacentral:lncRNA from 1 species
GCCAAGUAGAAUAUUUUAGUGUGAAUUUUUGUUGGUGAACCCAUGCCUCAAAAUAAUUUGGAAGCAGCCUGAAUUGGUCAUUGCGUGAGGGUGAACCAACACUGAAAUUUAGGCUCCCAAAGUUACCUUCCCUCCAUGGUCACCAUGAUUGGGACAAUGAUGAGCUAUCUUUGAAGUGAAAUUUUAUACCAAAAACUGGUGGUAACACCUUGCUCUAAGC